UCUUUAUCAAGAGUGGUGGAGGGGAAGGCCCUAUGAAACCACAGCAACCGAUUCGCCGCUGGCGAAUGUCAGGUGCUAAUUCCUGCCCCGCAUGGGGAUGGAUGAGGA
rfam:Desulfuromonadales bacterium C00003107 5579_contig_6927, whole genome shotgun sequence.